rnacentral:tRNA from 1 species
AAUUUGUUAGUUAUUAUUCUUGAUUGCAAAUCAGGGGUCUACUUAGGUAAACUA